CAGUGGAAGGGGCUUACUUGCUUUCAGAUCAUACCAAUGAAGUUUUCAAAUUUCAGAAGCUUCCCUCACGCUCCAUGCCCUGAAAUAUCAAGAUUAUACUAAAAAGUGAAGGAAGAGGACAGAUACAGAGGAAGAAAAAGACAGAGCUGCGGGAAGGAGACAAAGUUUUUUGAGUUGAACCAUAAAGAAGACUGAGCACCAAAGAACUGAUGCUUUCAAACUGUGAUGCUGGAGAAGACUCUUGAGUGCCCCUUAGACAGCAAGGAGAUCAAACCAGGCAAUCCUAAAAGAGAUCAACCCUGAAUACUCACUGGAAGUACUGAUGCUGAACCUGAAGCUCCAAUACUUUGUCCACAUGAUGCGAAGAACUGAUUCAUUUGAAAAGACCCUGAUGCUGGGAAAGAUUAAGGGCAGGAGGAGAAGGGGAUGACAGAGGAUGAGAUGGUUGGAUGACAUCACCGAUUCAAUGAACAUGAGUUUAGGCAAGCUCUGGGAGAUGGUGAAGGACAGGGAAGCCUGGCGUGCUACAGUCCACGGAGUCACAAAGUUGGACACGACUGAGCGACUGAACUGAACUGAUGUGGGCAUCUUCCAACCAAACAGCCCUGCUGGAACGCACAGUGGAGCUUCUGUUCACAAAGCCCUUACAGGUUCAGACUUUCCACUCAGCUCUUCAGCCACUACCCCCAGCCCCACCCUCGCCACCCCCCAUUUUAUAUAAGAACAGAUAAUCCACAUUUCCCAGACACUGUGGAUGCCUCUCACAUGAGUUACAAAGACCAAAAUGAAUAGAAAAAGGCAACCUGGAGAAAAGAGAGACAGUGCAGGUUGAAGAAAUCAUCAAAUAUCCUCUGAUUAAUAACCUCAGAACUAAGAUGUGUAACCAUCAAAUAAGAAUAUGACGUCAGAAAAAGGAGCAUUCAGGGAGCAGAUAAGACCUCUUGGAAACUAGAAAUAGGAUAAUAUAAAUAAAAAUCGGGGGCUUCCCUAAUAGCUCGAACAGUAAAGAAUCCCCCUGCAAUGCAGGAGACACAGGAGACCUGGGCUUGAUCCCAGGGUCGGAAAGAUGCCCUGGAGGAUGAAUGGCAAUCCACUCCAGUAUUCUUGUCUGGGAAUCCCAUGGACAGUAGAGCCUGGUGGGCUACAGUCUAUAGUGUUGCAAAGAAUGAGACAUGAGUGAACACAUAUGCAUAACAAUUCAAUAAAGGAGUUAGAAAAUAAAGGAGAGUAAAUUUUCCUGAAGUUAGAGCAAAAGAAAAAGAAAUGGACCAAUGAAAGAAAAGAAAAAUGAGUCUCUAGAACAGGAGAUCUAAUACAUGAAAAUAGACUUCCAAAAAGUGAGAACAGAGAAACCAGCAUAGAGGAAGUCAUUAAAAAUGUGAUUCAAAACCAUUUCCUGGAACAGAGGAGCUCGUUUCUAGAAUGAAAGGGCCACCAAAUGCCCACAUAGAAUUGAAAACAGGCUCAUGCCAAAGCACACCAAGGUGAGAUCUGGAAACAAUAAGACAAAGGAAAGAUGCUACAAGCUUUCAAGGAAGAGGAAAUAAAGGAUGGUGAAUCAGAACAGAUUCAGACUCCUCAGCAGCAACCCUGAAGGACAGAUGGCCACAGCCUUCCAAGUCCUCAAAGAAAAUGAUUUCCAAUUUAGAAUUCUAUAUGUACCCAACCCCAACGUGUCAAGACAGAUUAAACACGUUUCAGACAUACAAGUUCUCGAAAAUUCAUAUCUUGUGCACCUGCCUCAGGAAGUGUCCAGAACACAAGUCAGAAGAUGAAACAAAUAAAGAAAGAGGACCCAAAGUUUACCCAGGAGGGAGGCGUCCCUGAGAUGAGGGGAAAAAGAGGGCUAAAGAUGAGAACCCUGUCUCAGGUCCAGGCGGCAGCAUUUUCAGAGGC